GUCUUUUUGAUUAUAAUUUAAAGUCUAACCUGCCCAAUGAGAGUUUUAAUGGCCGCAGUAUUUUGACUGUGCAAAGGUAGCAUAAUCAUUAGUUUUUUAAUUGAAAGCUAGAAUGAAUGGUUGAACGAAAAAAAUUCUGUCUCAAUUUAAUUUAAUUAGAAUUUUAUUUUUAAGUUAAAAAGCUUAAAUUUGAUUAAAAGACGAGAAGACCCUAUAGAGUUUUAUAGUAUAAAAAUUUAAGUUUUAGAAAUUUUUUAAUUUUAAAUAUUAUUUUAUUGGGGUGAUAAAUAAAUUUAUUAAACUUUAUUUUUAUUUAAACAUUUAUAAAUGAGUAAUUGAUCCAUAAUAUGAUUAUAAGAUUAAAUUACCUUAGGGAUAACAGCGUAAUUUUUUUAGAGAGUUCAUAUCGAUAAAAAAGAUUGCGACCUCGAUGUUGGAUUAAAAUUUAUUUUUGGUGUAGAAGCUAAAAUAUUAAGUCUGUUCGACUUUUAAAAUUUUACAUGAUCUGAGUUCAGACCGGUGUGAGCCAGGUUGGUUUCUAUCUUUAAUAAAAUAAAAUAUUUUAGUACGAAAGGACCAAAUAUUAAUUAAAUUAAUUAUAAAUUUGAUUAU
rnacentral:rRNA from 1 species